UACGGAGGGAGCUAGCGUUGUUCGGAUAUACUGGGCGUAAAGGGCACGUAGGCGGCUUGGCAAAUCGGUCGUGGAAUCCCGACGCUUACCGUCGGAACGGCGGCCGAAAAUACCGAGCUCGAGGGCGUGAGGGGUCACUGGAACUCCUGGUGAAGCGGUGAAAUGCGUAGAUAUCAGGAAGAACACCGGUGGCGAAGGCGCUCUGCUAGGCCGCAACUGACACUGAGGGACGAAAGCUAGGGGAGCGAAUGGG
rnacentral:rRNA from 1 species